rnacentral:rRNA from 1 species
UGGGGAAUAUUGCACAAUGGGCGCAAGCCUAAUGCAGCCAUGCCGCGUGUAUGAAGAAGGCCUUCGGGUUGUAAAGUACUUUCAGCGGGGAGGAAGGGAGUAAAGUUAAUACCUUUGCUCAUUGACGUUACCCGCAGAAGAAGCACCGGCUAACUCCGUGCCAGCAGCCGCGGUAAUACGGAGGGUGCAAGCGUUAAUCGGAAUUACUGGGCGUAAAGCGCACGCAGGCGGUUUGUUAAGUCAGAUGUGAAAUCCCCGGGCUCAACCUGGGAACUGCAUCUGAUACUGGCAAGCUUGAGUCUCGUAGAGGGGGGUAGAAUUCCAGGUGUAGCGGUGAAAUGCGUAGAGAUCUGGAGGAAUACCGGUGGCGAAGGCGGCCCCCUGGACAAAGACUGACGCUCAGGUGCGAAAGCGUGGGGAGCAAACAGG